UAGGGAAUCUUCCGCAAUGGGCGAAAGCCUGACGGAGCAACGCCGCGUGAGUGAUGAAGGUCUUCGGAUCGUAAAACUCUGUUAUUAGGGAAGAACAUAUGUGUAAGUAACUGUGCACAUCUUGACGGUACCUAAUCAGAAAGCCACGACUAACUACGUGCCAGCAGCCGCGGUAAUACGUAGGUGGCAAGCGUUAUCCGGAAUUAUUGGGCGUAAAGCGCGCGUAGGCGGUUUUUUAAGUCUGAUGUGAAAGCCCACGGCUCAACCGUGGAGGGUCAUUGGAAACUGGAAAACUUGAGUGCAGAAGAGGAAAGUGGAAUUCCAUGUGUAGCGGUGAAAUGCGCAGAGAUAUGGAGGAACACCAGUGGCGAAGGCGACUUUCUGGUCUGUAACUGACGCUGAUGUGCGAAAGCGUGGGGAUCAAACA
rnacentral:rRNA from 1 species